UAGGUACUCCCUUCGUCCGAAAAAACUUGUCCCAAGCUUGUUCCUCAAAUGAUUGUAUCUAGCACUAACUUGAUGCUAGAUACGCCCAUUUGAGGGACAAGUUUUUUCGGUCGCAGGGAGUACAAG
rfam:Triticum urartu cultivar G1812 contig845237, whole genome shotgun sequence.